rnacentral:rRNA from 1 species
AACAGGGAUUGCCUUAGUAGCGGCGAGUGAAGCGGCAAAAGCUCAAAUUUGAAAUCUGGCACUUUCAGUGUCCGAGUUGUAAUUUGAAGAAGGUAUCUUUGGGUCUGGCUCUUGUCUAUGUUUCUUGGAACAGAACGUCACAGAGGGUGAGAAUCCCGUGCGAUGAGAUGACCCAGACCUAUGUAAAGUUCCUUCGAAGAGUCGAGUUGUUUGGGAAUGCAGCUCUAAGUGGGUGGUAAAUUCCAUCUAAAGCUAAAUAUUGGCGAGAGACCGAUAGCGAACAAGUACAGUGAUGGAAAGAUGAAAAGAACUUUGAAAAGAGAGUGAAAAAGUACGUGAAAUUGUUGAAAGGGAAGGGCUUGAGAUCAGACUUGGUAUUUUGUAUGUUACUCUCUCGGGGGUGGCCUCUACAGUUUACCGGGCCAGCAUCAGUUUGGGCGGUAGGACAAGUGCAAAGAAAUGUGGCACUGCCUCGGUAGUGUGUUAUAGUCUUUGUUGAUACUGCCAGCCUAGACUGAGGACUGCGGCUUCGGCCUAGGAUGUUGG